rnacentral:sRNA from 1 species
AAAAAAAAAGAAGUUGCAAUGACAAACUCUCAGUGGGGAGAAAGGGCAGAUCUUCCUAGGAAAAGAGAGUUGGCAUUCUCAUCCUGAUGUUUGCCCCCUGGACUAAUGAAAAACCUCAUUCAUGACCACAGUCUGUAUUUGGGAAGCUCUGUUCUACCUGGUGCUUGGGUUCUUAACACUCACAGACUUCCUGGGUAGGAAGUGGCGCUUUGAAUGGAGACAUGAGAGCUGCAUGUGCAGGUCAGCUCUUUCCUUUGCCGCAGUCUCUUUCUCUGCUAUCUUGCUAUGAUUUAGUCCUUAACUUUUUCCUUUUGUCUUUCCCCAUAGGCAAGAAGCGAAACCCUGGCCUUAAAAUUCCAAAAGAAGCAUUUGAACAACCUCAGACCAGUUCCACACCACCUCGAGAUUUAGACUCCAAGGCUUGCAUUUCUAUUGGAAAUCAGAACUUUGAGGUGAAGGCAGAUGACCUGGAGCCUAUAAUGGAACUGGGACGAGGUGCGUACGGGGUGGUGGAGAAGAUGCGGCACGUGCCCAGCGGGCAGAUCAUGGCAGUGAAGCGGAUCCGAGCUACAGUAAAUAGCCAGGAACAGAAACGGCUACUGAUGGAUUUGGAUAUUUCCAUGAGGACGGUGGACUGUCCAUUCACUGUCACCUUUUAUGGCGCACUGUUUCGGGAGGUAGGUGACCCUUCAAUUCAAAGUCCAAGAAGAACAAUAACUUAAAAAGAAGUUUCUUUGAUCACAUAAAUGCCAUCACAAUCAUGGAGCUCUUUCUUGUUUGACACAUCUUGUAUACGGGGGUUUACAUGUGUGCAAUGAUGACAUGCCCUGGAGCAAGGUUGGAUUGAAAUUAUGGUAUUUUCAAAUGUGGUUAGCCUUUUUAAGAUGUGGAAUUUCUCUUCUCCUUUUUUUUUGUUUUGUUUAUCUUGGCAGAACUUUCUAUAUCGCCUAUAGACUGAUUUGCUUAGAUCUCUUAUAAUUUGAAAUAUUCUGGUCUUUUGACUGCUUUAGGAGCUUCAUCUAGCCUACUUGUGUACCAUAUAGACUUACUUUGAUCUCUUUUCUCUACCUCUGUUUUCCACUUUAGCAUUAUAUGGAUUAUGAGGCUUCACCUCAUUAAAACCAGCUUUUUGACUGACUAUUGCUGGUGUUUAGUGUGAGAGAUCCGACAUGGAGGAGGCAUCUAGACCUAACUCCUAGACAAUGGUAUCAGUAAAGGCCUGGAUUUCUGGGCCUUUUGUUGUUGUAUUGCUUAUGUCUGUUAGUAAUUAGAUUCCAUUUUUCAUUAAGGGGUAGGAGAGCACAUGCAGAUUCUGCUCGGCUACCUACUGGUUUGCUCUUUGUAGAUAACCUUGCUUGUUUGUAAAUUCCUUUAUGAUCUUGACAGAAAACAAUGUAUUUCCCCCCAAAAUUCAAGAAAGAAAUAGUUAAUUCUUCAGGACAGGGCUUACUGUUUUUUUUUUUUUAUUUUUCUUUCUCCCUUUUUCAUCCUUUUAAACAAUUCCUGAAACAAUUGGUCUCCAGGGUGAUGUGUGGAUCUGCAUGGAGCUCAUGGAUACAUCACUAGAUAAAUUCUACAAACAAGUUAUUGAUAAAGGCCAGACAAUUCCAGAGGACAUCUUAGGGAAAAUAGCAGUUUCUGUGAGUACAUUUUGAUCCCUACUGCAAGGAUAAUGUGAGAAAUAAAGUCCCUAUGUGUCUUUGGACCUCAGUAUGAAGAAAUACUACCUGGGCCACAGCUACUAUUCGUACAUGUCUGUUGACGUUUAUCGGUGGAUGGAUAAAUACAUGCUUUCCUUUCUGAGCACUGUGUAGAAGAUUCUAGCACUGCUUUCGUUUGGCAGACUCUAGGUUAAAUGACUCUAAGUGCUGCAUUCAUCAGCUAUGACCACAUUCCUGGUGUCUGUAUUCUGACAUUAGUUUAUUUUGAUUUUCAUUUAUGGAUUUUUAAAAUGUUCUCUUAAGACUAGUAGGCAUAGAAGAAAGCAGAAGGAAAAUAAAUAGAAAGAAGGUCUUCUACCUUCAUGGCUAUUCAGGCUCAGGAGGGUGGAGAGAAAAAGAAGGAGGGCAAAUGAACAAGAUAGAUGAGGGAGACAUCCUCUCUGAUAUAAGAUACAGUCCUCUCUGGUGGAUGGAGUCCAAUUUGUGUAACUUCCUAUGUAUUUUCCUAGAUAGGACCACCACUAUUUGAGAAAAUAUCUCACUGGUAACCUAAAGCCAAGGAUAAUAAACCUUGAUAUACUUAACAUUCAAUUUCUUUCCAGCAAUAUGAUAAAUAAAUCUAUCGUGUGUUUCUCUUGCAGAUUGUAAAAGCAUUAGAACAUUUACACAGUAAGCUGUCUGUCAUUCACAGAGGUAAGCAUCCAUGAGCUGCCUUGGCUGUUCCUUUGAUAAAGUUCAUUUCUUUCACCUGGAGUCCCUCCCUACCCCCAAUCCCCCAUGGAUGGAAGUAGAAUUGACUCAGGCAAGAGAACUGAGGGGCUUUCCUUUGAGACUGGAUAGCAAACCAUAUAAGUAGUAUUCCUUAUCGUGGCUGAGGACAUAAGAAGACGACGUGAUCUUUGUCUUACAUCCAAAUUGAAUAUAAACACUUGUUAGCAAGCAGAGCUGUGAGAUUAUAUCACUGAGAAUUUUAGAGAAUACGAUAAAAAUCGAUCUUGUAUUGGCCAUCACAUGAGUGCUUGUUGGAAAAGAAUCAUGGGUCUCAAGAUCAAAUGAAUGGAAUUUGCAUUUUAACAGGAUUUCCAGGUGAUUCUUGUGCACAUGAAAGUGUGAAAAUCUCUGGUAUAAAGUAGAGCCCUUUCAGACAACAGGAGGCAGGAUAUAAUGAUUUAUCUCUUCCUCUUUCCUUUUCUUCCUUCUUAUUGGCCUGUUAUCUCUUCAACCAGCCAUUCAUCCAUCCAUCCAUUCAUUCAUUUUCUAUCCACCCAUUCAUCCAUUUAUUCAUCUUUUAAAAUCACUUUUAAAAUGUAAUAGAUCCCCUGAGAGGUAUCUGAGAAGAAAAUAUAUUCUGAUUAAAUUAUGCAUCAGGAUUCUUAUAGGGAGGUAAGAUAAAUAUACAAAAAAAAAAAAAA